rnacentral:lncRNA from 1 species
GAUAUAAAACUGAGGAUCUGAGAGGCCAGCUCUAGCCCCGGGGACUGCAGCAGCACCCACUCCAGGAAGCCUUCCCAUUACUAGCAGCGGACCCUGAAGCCCUGUCACUCCGCAGAUCUGGCGACUCUAUGUCCCACUACACCUCUAGGCUCAAAUGUUCAUCAAACACAAGUCGAGUGUAUUAGGCUCUGCCUCUACCCGCAGACCGCUGCAGUCUCUUCCUGGAAGUCCCCUCCUGCCAUAUACUCUCCCGGGUCUUUCUAGGUGGGACGCAAGGUGCCAACAGCCCCAGCCUUCUGAGAAAUAGGACUGUCACCAGCCCCGCGGAGAGACAGCUACGACCCCUUGGCACAGAUUUGGAAACCUGAUGAUUUACAAUUCAAAGCCUUGGCCAAGUGGACCUUCCUGGGACGACGAUGGAAGAGGUUUCUUUCACCGGCUCUCUGGGACGCUCAUGAGGUGCUCCCCCGCCCGCUUCUGUGCCUGCGGCUGUCGUCCUGGUGUGUUUGUUUGUGUGUGUGUGUGUGUGUGUGUGUGUGUGUGUGUGUGUGUGUAGGGGGUGGUUCCCAAGGUAUCUCACCUCGCGCUCCCGCUAGGUGUAAGGCGGCAAGGCAGAGAUAGAGCAAGGGCAGAGGUGAUGCCAUCGCCAGGUCCGAACUGCUCUGCGAAGCUCUGAGAUCUGACUGUGGCGGGCCUAGCCGCUGCUUGGACCUAAAAGGGCGGAACGGGCCACAAGCCACGCCCCCGCACACCAGACUGGGUCUUCUAAGCCUCCCGCGGUACCUCCGCCCUUAGACUGCCC